rnacentral:ribozyme from 1 species
CGUAAGUGUUUACAUACAUUAUGAAGAAGAAGGGGAAAAAAGAAGAAAGAAAACUGGGGAAGAUAGGAAAGAAGGAACUAUCUAUGCCAAUUCCCCUUGCAUUAUUUUCACUCUGCCAAACGACGAACCUAACAGUUGGCAUUAUCCUCUUUUUUUUCUUUAUGACUUUG